AUUGAACGCUGGCGGCAUGCCUUACACAUGCAAGUCGAACGGUAACAGGUCUUCGGAUGCUGACGAGUGGCGAACGGGUGAGUAAUACAUCGGAACGUGCCUGAUCGUGGGGGAUAACGGAGCGAAAGCUUUGCUAAUACCGCAUACGAUCUACGGAUGAAAGCAGGGGACCGCAAGGCCUUGCGCGGACGGAGCGGCCGAUGGCAGCUUAGGUAGUUGGUGGGAUAAAAGCUUACCAAGCCGACGAUCUGUAGCUGGUCUGAGAGGACAACCAGCCACACUGGGACUGAGACACGGCCCAGACUCCUACGGGAGGCAGCAGUGGGGAAUUUUGGACAAUGGGCGAAAGCCUGAUCCAGCCAUGCCGCGUGCAGGAUGAAGGCCUUCGGGUUGUAAACUGCUUUUGUACGGAACGAAAAGCCUCUUUCUAAUAAAGAGAGGUCAUGACGGUACCGUAAGAAUAAGCACCGGCUAACUACGUGCCAGCCGCCGCGGUAACAC
rnacentral:rRNA from 1 species